rnacentral:rRNA from 1 species
CAAUAGCGUAUAUUAAAGUUGUUGCAGUUAAAAGCUCGUAGUUGGAUUUCUGGCAGGAGCGACCGGUCGCACGCUAUGCGUGUGAACUUGUGUUGUCUCUGGCCAUCCUUGGGGAGAUCCCGUUUGGCAUUAAGUUGUCGGGCGGGGAUACCCAUCGUUUACUGUGAAAAAUUGGAGUGUUCAAAGCAGGCCUCGCGCCUGAACAGCAGAGCAUGGAAUAAUGGAAUAGGACCUCGGUUCUAUUGCGUUGGUUUUCGGAACUCGAGGUAAUGAUUAAGAGGGACUGACGGGGGCAUUCGUAUUGGCGGGUGUGAGAGGUGAAAUUCUUGGAUUUGUUAAAAGACGGACUACUGCGAAAGCAUUUGCCAAGGAUGUUUUCAUUGAUCAAGAACGAAAGUUAGGGGAUCGAAGAUGAUUA